UGCAGUCGAGGGGUAGAAGUCUUCGGACUUUGAGACCGGCGCACGGGUGCGUAACGCGUAUGCAAUCUGCCUUUCACAGAGGGAUAGCCCAGAGAAAUUUGGAUUAAUACCUCAUAGUAUUACGACUCGGCAUCGAGAUGUAAUUAAAGUCACAACGGUGAAAGAUGAGCAUGCGUCCCAUUAGCUAGUUGGUAAGGUAACGGCUUACCAAGGCUACGAUGGGUAGGGGUCCUGAGAGGGAGAUCCCCCACACUGGUACUGAGACACGGACCAGACUCCUACGGGAGGCAGCAGUGAGGAAUAUUGGUCAAUGGGCGCAAGCCUGAACCAGCCAUGCCGCGUGCAGGAUGACGGUCCUAUGGAUUGUAAACUGCUUUUGUACGAGAAGAAACACUGAUUCGUGAAUCAGCUUGACGGUAUCGUAAGAAUAAGGAUCGGCUAACUCCGUGCCAGCAGCCGCGGUAAUACGGAGGAUCCAAGCGUUAUCCGGAAUCAUUGGGUUUAAAGGGUCCGUAGGCGGUCAUGUAAGUCAGUGGUGAAAGCCCAUCGCUCAACGGUGGAACGGCCAUUGAUACUGCUUGACUUGAAUUAUUAGGAAGUAACUAGAAUAUGUAGUGUAGCGGUGAAAUGCUUAGAUAUUACAUGGAAUACCAAUUGCGAAGGCAGGUUACUACUAAUUGAUUGACGCUGAUGGACGAAAGCGUGGGGAGCGAACAGGAUUAGAUACCCUGGUAGUCCACGCCGUAAACGAUGGAUACUAGCUGUUGGGAGCAAUUUCAGUGGCUAAGCGAAAGUGAUAAGUAUCCCACCUGGGGAGUACGAACGCAAGUUUGAAACUCAAAGGAAUUGACGGGGGCCCGCACAAGCGGUGGAGCAUGUGGUUUAAUUCGAUGAUACGCGAGGAACCUUACCAAGGCUUAAAUGCAGACUGACCGAUUUGGAAACAGAUCUUUCGCAAGACAGUUUACAAGGUGCUGCAUGGUUGUCGUCAGCUCGUGCCGUGAGGUGUCAGGUUAAGUCCUAUAACGAGCGCAACCCCUGUUGUUAGUUGCCAGCGAGUCAUGUCGGGAACUCUAACAAGACUGCCAGUGCAAACUGUGAGGAAGGUGGGGAUGACGUCAAAUCAUCACGGCCCUUACGCCUUGGGCUACACACGUGCUACAAUGGCCGGUACAGAGAGCAGCCACUGGGUGACCAGGAGCGAAUCUAUAAAGCCGGUCACAGUUCGGAUCGGAGUCUGCAACUCGACUCCGUGAAGCNGGAAUCGCUAGUAAUCGG
rnacentral:rRNA from 1 species